GGGGCUGUGGGGUAGCUUGGCCUAGCCUUUCGGCUUUGGGAGCCGAAGACCCCGGUUCAAAACUCCAUCAGGAUCAGCAAAUCCCCGGAUGGAGUGAAUAUCCGGGCAGCCCCA
rnacentral:tRNA from 1 species